GACGAACGCUGGCGGCGUGCCUAAUACAUGCAAGUUGAGCGCUGAAGGUUGGUACUUGUACCAACUGGAUGAGCAGCGAACGGGUGAGUAACGCGGGGGGAAUCUGCCUUUGAGCGGGGGACAACAUUUGGAAACGAAUGCUAAUACCGCAUAAAAACUUUAAACACAAGUUUUAAGUUUGAAAGAUGCAAUUGCAUCACUCAAAGAUGAUCCCGCGUUGUAUUAGCUAGGUGGUGAGGUAAAGGCUCACCAAGGCGAUGAUACAUAGCCGACCUGAGAGGGUGAUCGGCCCCAUUGGGACGGAGACACGGCCCAAACUCCUACGGGAGGCAGCAGUAGGGAAUCUUCGGCAAUAGACGAAAGUCUGACCGAGCAACGCCGCGUGAGUGAAGAAGGUUGUCGGAUCGUAAAACUCUGUUGGUAGAGAAGAACGUUGGUGAGAGUGGAAAGCUCAUCAAGUGACGGUAACUACCCAGAAAGGGACGGCUAACUACGUG
rnacentral:rRNA from 1 species